rnacentral:tRNA from 2 species
CCCGCCUUAGCUCAGUGGCAGAGCGUGGGCCUGUAGAGCCCAUGGUCCCCGGUUCAAAUCCGGGAGGCGGGA